CAAAACUACCAAAAAAAAAAACAGAAAAAAAC
rnacentral:sRNA from 1 species